CCCUUAGAUGUUCCGGGCCGCACGCGCGCUACACUGAUGCAUUCAACGAGUUUCUUCCUGGUCCGAGAGGAAUGGGUAACCUUUUGAAAGUGCAUCGUGAUAGGGAUAGACUAUUGCAAUUAUUGGUCUUCAACGAGGAAUUCCUAGUAGACGUAGUUCAUCAGACUGCAUCGAUUACGUCCCUGCCCUUUGUACACACUGCCCGUCGCUCCUACCGAUUGAAUGCUCAGGUGAGCCAUUCGGACCUUCAUCAUGCCGGUUUCCGGUUUUGAUGAGGGAAAGUCUUGCGAACCUUAUCAUUUAGAGGAAGGAGAAGUCGUAACA
rnacentral:rRNA from 1 species